rnacentral:rRNA from 1 species
ACGAACGCUGGCGGCCUGCCUAACACAUGCAAGUCGAACGAGACCUUCGGGUCUAGUGGCGCACGGGUGCGUAACGCGUGGGAACCUGCCCUUAGGUUCGGAAUAACUCCCCGAAAGGGGUGCUAAUACCGGAUAAUGUCUUCGGACCAAAGAUUUAUCGCCUUUGGAUGGGCCCGCGUUGGAUUAGCUAGUUGGUAGGGUAAAAGCCUACCAAGGCGACGAUCCAUAGCUGGUCUGAGAGGAUGAUCAGCCACACUGGGACUGAGACACGGCCCAGACUCCUACGGGAGGCAGCAGUGGGGAAUAUUGGACAAUGGGCGAAAGCCUGAUCCAGCAAUGCCGCGUGAGUGAUGAAGGCCUUAGGGUUGUAAAGCUCUUUUACCCGGGAUGAUAAUGACAGUACCGGGAGAAUAAGCUCCGGCUAACUCCGUG